ACACCGUAUUCUGUGAGUUGCGAACGGGUGAGUAACGCGUAGGUAACCUGCCUGGUAGCGGGGGAUAACUAUUGGAAACGAUAGCUAAUACCGCAUAAGAACAUUUACUACAUGGUAGAUGUUUAAAAGGUGCAAAAGCAUCACUACCAGAUGGACCUGCGUUGUAUUAGCUAGUUGGUGAGGUAACGGCUCACCAAGGCAACGAUACAUAGCCGACCUGAGAGGGUGAUCGGCCACACUGGGACUGAGACACGGCCCAGACUCCUACGGGAGGCAGCAGUAGGGAAUCUUCGGCAAUGGGGGGAACCCUGACCGAGCAACGCCGCGUGAGUGAAGAAGGUUUUCGGAUCGUAAAGCUCUGUUGUUAAGGAAGAACGUGUGUGAGAGUGGAAAGUUCACACAGUGACGGUACUUAACCAGAAAGGGACGGCUAACUACGUGCCAGCAGCCGCGGUAAUACGUAGGUCCCGAGCGUUGUCCGGAUUUAUUGGGCGUAAAGCGAGCGCAGGCGGUUAGAUAAGUCUGAAGUGAAAGGCAGUGGCUCAACCAUUGUAGGCUUUGGAAACUGUUUAACUUGAGUGCAGAAGGGGAGAGUGGAAUUCCAUGUGUAGCGGUGAAAUGCGUAGAUAUAUGGAGGAACACCGGUGGCGAAAGCGGCUCUCUGGUCUGUAACUGACGCUGAGGCUCGAAAGCGUGGGGAGCGAACAGGAUUAGAUAACCUGGUAGUCCACGCCGUAAACGAUGAGUGCUAGGUGUUAGGUCCUUUCCGGGACU
rnacentral:rRNA from 1 species